rnacentral:rRNA from 1 species
AUUGAACGUUGGCGGCAGGCCUAAUACAUGCAAGUCGAACGGCAGCACAGAGAGCUUGCUCUUGGGUGGCGAGUGGCGGACGGGUGAGUAACGCGUAGGAAUCUACCCAGUAGCGGGGGAUAGCCCGGGGAAACUCGGAUUAAUACCGCAUACGCCCCACGGGGGAAAGGCCGGGAUCUUCGGACCGGUCACUAUUGGAGGAGCCUGCGUUGGAUUAGCUUGUUGGUGGGGUAAAGGCCUACCAAGGCUACGAUCCAUAGCUGGUCUGAGAGGACGAUCAGCCACACUGGAACUGAGACACGGUCCAGACUCCUACGGGAGGCAGCAGUAGGGAAUAUUGUGCAAUGGGCGAAAGCCUGACACAGCCAUGCCGCGUGUGUGAAGAAGGCCCUAGGGUUGUAAAGCACUUUCAGUA